rnacentral:lncRNA from 1 species
CAACAUCAAAUACUUACACAUCACUCAUUAGCAAAAUCAUCAUUACAAACAUACAAAAUAACUAAAUCCCUAUACAUGCCAUAACUCAAACGUGUUUCGAUAUAAAAUACCGAGCAGUUGUAGUUGAUAGUGUGAACGAUCUCCGACUUCUUUAGGAUCCUUGAAGUAGCUUUGCAAUACUAUAAGAGAAAGAGAAAUAAAAUAAGUAAGCAUAAAGCUUAGUAAGUUUACUAGCAAAUAAAUAACAAUAUUUAACUUAAAUAAUUAAACUCAAUGUCUAUAUCUCUAGUUUACUCUUUAGUUAAUCUCAUACUAGUUCUCUUACUUGUUUACUUAGAAUACUUGUGUGCAUAACUUACUCAAUCCUUGCUGCAUCGUUGAACAUCAAUUGAUAGUAUAAUAAGUUCUUAAGUCUUACAACUUACCUGAGCUUGCCAUUUAUGCUUUAAACUGAACUUUCAUGAACAUGAUUCGUUUACAAGCCCGUUGAGCUACAUUGGAAUAAUAAGGAUACUCGGGUCUCUUCUGAUAAUAACAUGCCAAAGCCAUGUCCCAGACAUGGUCUUACAUGGGAUGUUCUCGUGAUGGUGCCCAUGCCAUGUCCCAGACAUGGUCUUAUAGGGGACCUAUCAUCUCGGUGCCAACGCCAUGUCCCAGACAUGGUCUGACAUGGGACCUCUCGUCUCGGUGCCCAUGCCAUGUCCCAGACAUGGUCUUACAGGGGACCUCUCAUGAUCUUAAGGAUGCCAAUGCCAUGUCCCAGACAUGGUCUUACAUGGGAUCUCUUUACCCAAAUGUCAUGACAUUCGUAUCCAGUACCAUCCUUAUGUAUCAACGGGACUUUUAAAUUUUAAUUCUCUAUCAUUUCAUGCUUGGAUCAUCAUCAAAUAAAUUCAUAAAAUAAAUUCAUAAUUGCUGGAAAUUAACAGCAUUAAUAAUAAAUAUUGAAAUAUUGCAUUUAUUUACCGUAAACUUAUCUCGGUACCAAUUAUAGCCAAAUUCACCAACUUAGUCUUCAACUUUAUUCUUCCCUUUGUCUAACCUCGAGUUUCGUACUUCUUGAUCUAAAAUAGUAAAUUUAACUUAUUUAAUAAUCACAUUCAUUAAAACAGCCCUCGACUCUAACUUUUUCAAAAUUACAAUUUUGCCCCUAAACUUUUACAUAAUUACAUUUUUGCCCCAAGGCUCGGAAAUUAAACUUCAUCUCUUAUUCUUAUGUUUUAUAACAUUCUGAACAUUUUUCCCUUCUAUGGCAACAUCAAAUUCCCACUCUAACAUGUACUUAUGAACAUUAGGUAUUUUUACCGAUUAUGUCGUUUUACUCGUUUUCACUUAAAAUCGCUUAGCGAAAGUUGUUUAACAUAAUUUCUAGCUUCAUAUUCUAUCAUAAAACAUCAAAAUAAACACUUUUCACCUAUGGGUAUUUUUCCAAAUAUAAACCCUAGGUUAAAUUAUUGCUAGAAUAAGCUAAAUUAAGCUACCGGGAUCUCAAAAACGUAAAGAACAUUAAAAACGGGGCUUGGGAUCACUUACUAUGGAGCUUGGAAGCUUGAAAACCCUAACUAUGGCUUCCCCCCUUGCUGAUUUCGUUCAUAUGAAGAAGAUGAUGAUUUUUUCCAUCUUUUUCCCUUUUAAUUCAUUUUAAUUACUAGAUUACCAAAUUGCCCCUAACUUAAAAAUUUUCUAUUUCACUUAUCUCAUGUCCAUUUUUGUCUACCAAGUUACAAAUGGUAUAAUUACCAUAUAAGGACCUCCAAUUUAAAGUUUCAUAACAAUUGGACACCUCUAAUGUAACACCCCUUACCCGUAUCCAACACCGGAAUAGGGUACGAGGCAUUACCAAAACACAUACACUUGUAAACGUAUUUAACCGAGUUAUAAAAUUUCAUCAAAAUUAAAACUUUCAAAAAUAAUUAACAUGUUUCUAUAACUUUUCACAAUAUAUCCUUAAAAUAUUAUAAUCAUAAUAAUUAGGGCCUGCGAGACCCGAUACAUACUCAUGCAAUUUAAUGCUUCAUUUCCAUUUCAUUCAAUUCGCAAUUUCUCAUGCUCAUAAUUUAAAUCAUAUCACUAGAAAUUUCCAUUUAAUUCACGUACAAUUCAAUGACAUCAAAUUCAAAACUAAUACGUAUUUACCAUUUAACUCAAUGUUUAUUGAUUAUACCAUUCAAUAACACAUUUAUGAAAUUCUCAAUUUAGCAAUGAAAAUAUCACUUUAGUUUGAAUAACAACAUCGUCCUGAUAUAAAUACACUACCACUUAUCCAUUUACUUUAAUUCUUUUGGGCCCAUUUGUCACUUACCAUCUUUAAUCAAAUUAGGGAACGGUCACGGAAAAUUGAGUACUUCACUUUCACUUUGCCAUAGUAUAACUAUGGUCUUACGUAUGAUCACUUAUCACUUGUCCCUGAUCAGAUAAGUGUAGCCACCUAUCACUUUGUUUCUUGAUCAGAUAAGUGUAGCCACUUAUCACUUUGUUUCUUGAUCAGAUAAGUGUAGCCACUUAUCACUUUGUCUCUUGAUCAGAUAAGUGUAGCUAAAGCUAUCACUUAUCACUUUGUCUCUUGAUCAGAUAAGUAUAGCCGAAGCUAUCACUUAUCACUUUUCACUUGUCACUUGAUCAGAUAAGUGUAGCCGAAGCUAUCACUUAUCACUUUCCACUUGUCACUUGAUCAGAUAAGUGUAGCUGAAGCUAUCACUUAUCACUUUGAUCAGAAGUACUCAAAUCCGGCGUUCCGCUCAAUUUGAUCAUUUAUUCAUAUAUCAGGCUUACCAACAUGUGUUAAUUCAUAAACCAUUCAUGGUAUUAUUUCAUGCCAAAUCAUAUACUGAAUAUACCAUACACACAUACUAUGAAACUUUAUUUUCACACAUGAGCUUAAACCAUGACCAAUAAUGCACAAAAAUAAGCAUCAUUCAUAUUUCAUCGUUUAUGAGUUAUAAUCAAACAUAUGACCAUUUAUACACGAAUCAUUCAUAUAUUUCCCAAUUUUCCUCCUCCUCCUCUCCAUUCCACAUCCUUAAUGUGUAUAACACACUUAAACAACAUUAACCAUAAUUUCAAUAUUCACUAACAUGUAUAUUCAAAGCUGUUUAUCCGAGUCAGAGUCACUAAAUUAUUUUUAUCCGGAGCUACAGAGCUCAAAAUUAAGAUCCGUUAAUUUUCCCUGAAACUAGACUCACAUAUCUUCAUACCAUAAAAUUUUCAUAAUUUUUGGUUCAGCCAAAUAGUACAUUUUAUUCUUUAAAUUUUCCCCUGUUUCGCUGUCUGACAGUUCCGACCACUCUUCACUAAAAAUUAAUUAUCUCAUUGUACAGAAUUCGGAUGAUGUUUUAGCUUGUUUCUUAUAAAAAUAGACUCAUUAAGGAUUCUAACCAUAUAAACUAUAACUCAUAAUAAUUUCUGUACAAUUUUUAAUGAUUUUCCAAAGUCAGAACAGGGGAACCCGAAUUCAUUCUGACCUUGUCUCACAAAAUCUAUUAUAUCUCAUGAUUUACAAUUCCAUUGCUCACAUCAUUUCUUUUAUAAGAAACUAGACUCAAUAAGCUUUAAUUUCAUAUUUUAUUCAUCCUCUAAUUCAAUCUCUACAAUUUUUGGUGAUUUUUCAAAGUUACACUACUGCUGCUGUCCAAAACUGCUUUAGUGCAAAAUGUUGAUUUCCAUUUUGCCCCAAAUUUCACAGUUUAUACAAUUCGGUCCUUUCUCAAUUAACCCCUCAAUUAAUCUAAUUUUCUCAAUUAGUACUUUACUAGACAUUAUAAGUUGUUACACAACUAUUGAAAUUCAGAAUUUCCACAUAUAACUCUAUCUUCAAACUCUUUUACUAUUAGGUCCCAAACAUUCACUUUCUAUUCAAUUCUUUCAAUAAAAUCAGCAUAUGAACAAUUUAAAGCUCUAAUUUCAUGCUAAAUCAUCAUAUACUUCCAGCACAUAUUCAUAUCAACUUUCAACUUCUUUCAUAAAAUCAAAAACUAAUGAAUUUAACAAGUGGGCCUAGUUGUAAAAGUCAUAAAAAUACAAAAAUUUCAAGAAAUAGUCAAGAAUUGAACUUACUUGUAAUAAAAAUAUGAAGAACCAGCUUGAAGAAGCCCUUC